CGCGUAGGCGGCCCCGCAAGUCAGAUGUGAAAGCCCUCGGCUCAACCAAGGAAUUGCAUCUGAAACUGCAGGGCUAGAAUCCGGGAGGGGAGAGUGGAAUUCCCAGUGUAGCGGUGAAAUGCGUAGAUAUUGGGAGGAACACCGGUGGCGAAGGCGGCUCUCUGGACCGGCAUUGACGCUGAGGCGCGAAAGCUAGGGGAGCAAACG
rnacentral:rRNA from 1 species